UGGUGGUUCCUAAAAUUUGAGACCGCGGGAAGAGAUGUAUGCUCACGCGGGAGCACAGUAUAAGCGCUUCUAUUUCUAUAUGCCCUGCGAAUGGUUCAAGGAAAGCUGCAUAUUUGCGAGCUGUGCUUUGGGUCGUUAUUGUGAUCGCGAAGAUCUGAAAGACUUUGGAGCAGAGGUGCAUAAUGCACAUUAUUACAAUGGACUCAUAAAUGUUCAUGAUUUUAUCAAGAAUGGGGUGAAGAUCGAUAUAGACUUUCCUCUUGCAUAUGGAGAGACUGCAGAGUUUUCUAAACCUUCAUACUCACCAGGACCUAGGAUGGAUGAGGAUGGCGUUUGUGCUGAGAUGCCCUUUGGUACCAAGCGUAGACGCAUUGCAGGCAAUAUCCAAGGAAAUGAAGACUUUGAGAGUCUUCAAAGGAUAACUCUCUGGGAUACUUGCAGAAAUCCCCGUGUUGAUUCAGAGUCUAAUGAUAAGGAACUCCAGCAUUGCCAUACUGGGCAUUUUAUUCUAGGAGUUUCAUGGGCACUAGCCGUGAAGGAUAACCAUCUACAGAUUCGUAGGCUGGUGAGAAAAUUUCAAGGAUUCCAUCUCUCUGAUAAAACUCCUGAUCAAUCUCAUUUUAGAGGACUGAAUGAAUCUUCAUGGAAUAGAUCUCCUGAUACCUCUAAUAUUCCUAAGGUUGUGGGGUCCACAUAUGCAGACAGUUCCACUCAUGGAAGCACUUUCGUUACCAAUGUCACUGAAAAGACUAAAUCAGAUAAGAGCUUUCCCAUUUCCAGUGUUGAGGGGAAAGGAAGAAGAGUUAAUCAGAAAACCAGUGGAACAGAUGGUGAUUUUUGUCUUUCUAAAUUUAAGUCGAGUAAGAGAAUCAAUUUGGCUGAUGAUGACUCUAUGGCUCCCUUGGGUGAGAUGAAAGGUAGAGUUAAGCAGCUAGUGAGUAAAAAGAAUAUGUUGAUUGAUGUUGACUAUCAGUCAUAUCUAGACAAGAAGCGGGAAACUAGUAGCUUAGAAACUCUUUCAUUGCCUUAUGAGAAAAGAAAGACCGAAGGCUCCUUAGUUGAUGAUGAUUACAAGUUAUUCUUGGAUAAUGUAAUAGAAAGUGGUGAUUCCUAUUAUUUAAAAAUAAAUAAUGGUAGGGGUCGUAAACCAAAUGUUGUUAGGUAUGAGAAAGAUUUUGAGUCUCCACAUGGCACUAAGAAAAAGAAUUACCUGCAAUUACAGGAAAAAAUGCAGAAAAGGGGUCCUCUAUUUAAGAAAAAGCAAUUUUGUAAGAUGACUGUUCUUCGAUAUGAUAAAGGACGGGUGCCUCCAAUGUGUAAAGGGAAUGAUAGUCUUACACAAACACAUGAAACAAAAAGGAAAAGGAUUCCCAGAGUUAAGAACAAGCAAGCAGCAGUGCCUCCCAAGAGUAAAGGGAAAGAUACUCUCACACAAUUACAGAAAACAAAGAAGAGGAUUCCUGAAGUUAAGAACAAGCUAGCCCUGCUUCCUAUUGAUCUUCCUCAAAGACGAAGCCUAAGAUUGCAUUAUGAAAAUAAGAUGAAAGCACCUUCAGGACCUUCUAUUGGCACUUCUUUAUCCUGUUUGGUUCGGAAGGCCGAUGAGGACAUUACCAAGGGCCCAUAUGAUUCUCUUUCCUUCAAGGGGAAACUGAUGGUUGUACUCUCUAGGCCUUUUAACAUGUCUGAGUUUAAACAAUUAUUGCAUGAAGCAUCUGAUCGUAGGCCAAUUGUGAGACAAAGAAAUAUACGAAAUGGAUCCAAAUCCUAUGAAACGGAGAAAUUGGGUUUGUCUUAUCUAGACCACUAUAAUGAUUUGAAGGAAAAGCUUGAGGCGUCAGUCAAUAAUCAUGAAAAGUUGUUCUUGUUGCGUGGGUUCUUCUUCUGGCUAAAGAAUCUCUGCCAUCCACAUGCCUUUAUGCCCUGGAAAGAACCUUCACUUUACAAACAAGUUUAUUCUAAUUGCUGAGUUACUGUGGAAAACUUUUAUCAUGCAUUCGUGCUAAACCUGUUAUCUGAUUCAUGGCAAAUGAUUUCAACCGUGUUAAAACUACUUCAAUUCUAUGGAGCUUUCUUUUGGAGACCUUUUAAAGUUCGGUCAUUCUAGAAAGUUGGGCUUUAAGGUCACUAGGUUUUGGAUCAAGGGGGUUGGACACCAACUUUCGAUGGGCUUCAAACCACUCGAGAGCCUUGUAACUUCAGCCCGCUCAAGCGUAGCCGACACCAAAUAGUUGGGAUAAGGCUCUGAUGAUGAUGAUGAUGAUGAUUUUUGGAUAAUUUGAAAUUUAUACAGAGAACAUCUUUAGCGGGCAUUGGACACCUCAUGUCCCAAUAAUUCAUACCAUCAUUGAAUAUACAUCUUUUUGUGCAAAAGUAACUGUCAAACUGGUCUAAAUUAUUUAUUUUAUAUUU